CGCCUCCUGCAAACAUCUAAGUAUAGGAGGUCCAGCCUGCCCAGUGACUAUGGGUUCAACGGCCGCGGUAUUUUGACCGUGCAAAGGUAGCGCAAUCACUUGUCUUUUAAAUGAAGACCCGUAUGAAUGGCUAAACGAGGGCUUAACUGUCUCCCCUUUCCAGUCAGUGAAAUUGAUCUAUCCGUGCAGAAGCGGGUAUAAAUCUACAAGACGAGAAGACCCUUUGGAGCUUAAGGUACAGACCCAAUCGCGUUAAACAACUUAUUAAAGAGCAUAAACUUAGCGCAUCAUGGAAUCUUACCUUCGGUUGGGGCGACCACGGAGGAAAAAACAGCCUCCGAGUGGACCGGGAAUAAAUCCUAAAGUUAAGAGCAACACCUCUAAACCACAGAACAUCUGACCAAACAUGAUCCGGACAUAAGUCCGAUCAACGAACCAAGUUACCCUAGGGAUAACAGCGCAAUCCUCUCCCAGAGUCCAUAU
rnacentral:rRNA from 1 species